GCUCCAUGUUAGAUGCUAACGCUGACCGCAGCAUGAUUGAAAUGGUAAAACAAACAAAACAAACAAAGAAACACAUAAGUCUUAGUAUCAUUACUUGCCAAUCAUAAUUAAAAUGUUGAGUAAUAGUAUUCACCAAACAGAAUAUGAGCCAUUUAUUUUUCCUUUCCAGGUGCAGUGUGAAUCUUGCCAAAGAUGGGCACAUUUUGCAUGUGAAAAAUAUAAAGAGAGCAACCAAGAAUAUAAAUGCCAAAAAUGUAGCCAGAGUCAGACAGAGACUGUGCAGAGACUGUAGAAGGACAGAGCAGCAGCAGAGCAGUCCAGAUACACUGAUGAUCCUCUGUCAGAUCCAGAGGGACACACAGGGAUGAUGCUGGACUCUACAUUGUGUCUGACAGUGGAGCUGUUCUCAGAGCAGUUCACUCUGCAGCACUGACAGUCAUCUGCACUUCUUCUCAUUCCUCUGUCAGUCACUGCUGGAUGAAGCUCUCCUCUCCACCUCCCAGUAACAUGGCCCAGUCAGAGCGUCUCUACACACAAGCUGCUGCUGCUUCAACCUCUCUGGAUCAUCAGGACACAGCUCCUCCUCUCUCAGCACACACACCGUCCUGUUUACCAUCACCAGCUCCACCUGCAGAGAGAAGAAGGAAGAGCAGAGGAGAUAAACGAGUGUUUCCAGAGACUCUUCAUCAGCUGUCAGUCAGUGAUGCAGCACAUCCAGUAUAAAGAGCAGCAGGGACUUCAGUGCUGGGACUGUACUAGGACUCAUUGUUGCUUCACUUUUUCUAAUCUUUGGAUUUUUAUUGAAGUUGAUGAAAAUGUUUUUCCCUCCUAGUUUGAGUUUGGACUUUCAUUCAUUAGAAGAACCUUGGUGUGUCCACUCUGAGCUCUGUAGGAACCCCAACAACAAGCCCAACAAUCCAGAUGGACGGUUCCAGCUGUUAACUGGAGGAAUUCCAUCCAAACAUCUGCUCUCACUAAAUUCUUCCUCACCUACAGACUGUGUUCUUCACUGCUUUAAACUUGGAAAUGAAUGCAGUCAUUGGUCUGCGUGCUGCUUUGUUCAGAGAGCUGAUUGGCUGUUGACAGUGUUUGAUCAGAGCGUGUCAGCCGUUACUAUGGUGACCAUAAAGGUCAGAAACAGGAAGUGUUUGUGUCCAAUCCUGAAGCCUGUCACCAUUCUCCUCUCACAGCUUCACUGAGAAGCUGCAGCUUUACAGGAAACACUGGAUCUUUGCUUCAUACUGACUGUGUUUAGUACAAUACUGCUGACAGCACCACCCACUCACUCCAUCACUCUACUGACCCCAGAGUCUCCAGUCUGUAGUCUGGACUCUGCUGAAGAUCAGACAGCUGCUUCACAUCUGGAUCCUUCAGGUUGUUUCCCCACAGGUUCAGCUCUCUCAGAUGGGAGGGGUUGGACUUCAGUGCUGCUGCCAGAUAAUCACAGCUGAUCUUUGACAAACCACAGCUCUCCAAUCUGUAUAAAGAAUGAAAGAUGUAAGUUUAUUAGACAAAGUGUGAGCUUGAAAUCAUUCAGUGUUUCAUCAUCUGUUCAGAGCUGAAGAAGGUUCAGAAUGUAGAAGUUUAGAAAAUGGAAACUCCAAACAGCUGAAGCCAACAGGAAGCAGCUUCAAACAGGAAACUGUGCAGAGUUUCAGACUAUAUGUCCUGAUGCAGCCAGUUGGAUUUUGGAGAUUUGAAUCUCUGUUCUGUGACUAAGUCCUUGAAUCAUUUCUUCCAGUUGGUCCAACAAGACAGACUAAGUGUUGGACAUGUGUUGUGGCUCCAUUAGGGGAGCUUCUAAAUGUGAUGUGAUGGCCCCUCUGGGUCUGUCAGGUCACAGCACUGAAGAGAGCUCAAACUGGGCACACAGUUGUUCCAGUCUGGACCAAAGACUCUAUACUGGGACUGAGGGACUGCUUUGACUGCACCCACUGGGACUUUUUAAAGGCUCAUGUUCUCACUUAGAUCAUCGAUUUCUACUUACAUUUCUUUCUGGGAAAAAUGGGGAUAACUUUGGAAACAGGAAGUAUUUUCCCCAAUAAGCAGCCCUGGAUUAGUAAAUCACUCCAACAUGUUCUCAGGCAGAAGAAGCUGUCUUGUUAUGAGGGAGAGAAGAAAAAGAUUGAGGCACAGAAACUUGUUGAAAGAGAGAUAAAGCAGCUAAAAUCAGGUGUAAAAGUAAAGCAGAGGAUGAGCUGAAUAAAGGACACUCAAGGCUGGCUUGGAAAGGAAUGAAGUCCAUGGUGGGGAUGCAGGACAAGGAGCAAAGAUGAAUGUGAUGCUGAAUCAGCAGAAGACUUGGACUCAUUUGAUUCCAGCUUUGAUAUCAUUGAUUUCAAUGAAGAGCUUUGUGAUUGUAGCAAAGGGCUGGUAGCUCUGAGAGUCCCACUGAUGAGGUGUUUGUGUGGAAAUCUCUUAGUGGGACCAAAGAGAGAAAAAGCCCUGGUCCUGAUGCUGUGGGAGGGAAAUGAUUGAAGUGUGCUGUGAGGAACUGACUGGGAGGUUUUCACACAUUUUCCAGUCCUCCUUGGAACAACAGGAAGUUCCCAGCACAUGGAAACAAAGGUUAAGUGUCCUAUGGCACUCAGUGAUGAUGGUGCUGUGGCCCCACCACCUCCACCUCUUUGUAAAGGAACUAACUGUAAUCUGAAGCUUCAAAUGGGACUAAGACUUCCUCCACUAGGUGGCAGUGUCUGAUGAGAAAGUGUUAGUGGAGCUGGCCUGGAGUCAGAAACAGGAAGAUGCAGGAUUUGGGCUGAAAUGGGGAAAAGUGGUUCGCACUAGUGCCUUAAAGCAAGAAGGUUGUAGGUUGAAGCUUGUUGGCCUUUCUGUGGAGGUUGGAUGUUCUCCCACAGUCCAAUGAAAUGCUGCUUAGGUUCAUUGGUGCUUCUAAAUUGGCUGUAGGUGUGGAUGUGAGAGAGUGCUUCUCUGUCUCUCUCUGUUGGCCCUGUGAUGGACUGCUCACCUGUGCAGGUGGACCACGCCUCUUGCCCUAUGACAGCUAGGGCACAGGCUGCAGCCCUGUGAGCCUAAGCUGAAUAAACAGUUAGCAAAAAUGAUCCAUAGAUGGCCUGAAAUCCCCCAGUUAGCAGUUUGGUAGAUAGCUAUGACAUGCUAAUCCCAUCCAGCAGC
ensembl:lncRNA